GCCCGGUUAGCUCAAUCGGUAGAGUACGUUCCCAUCCUCCUCACAACAUAUAACUCUAUCACUAACAUCAUCACCAGGCGUGAGACUCUUAAUCUCAAGGUUGCGGGUUCGACCCCCGCAUCGGGCU